GGGGCCUUAGCUCAGUUGGGAGAGCGCUACAAUGGCAUUGUAGAGGUCAGGGGUUCGACUCCCCUAGGCUCCACCA
rnacentral:tRNA from 7 species